UCAUCAUGCCCCUUAUGUCCUGGGCUGCACACGUGCUACAAUGGCCGGUACAAUGGGCUGCGAUGCCGCGAGGCGGAGCGAAUCCCAUAAAACCGGUCCCAGUUCGGAUCGGAGGCUGCAACCCGCCUCCGUGAAGUCGGAGUUGCUAGUAAUCGCGGAUCAGCAUGCCGCGGUGAAUACGUUCCCGGGCCUU
rnacentral:rRNA from 1 species